rnacentral:rRNA from 1 species
CACCGCGGUUAUACGAGAGACCCAAGUUGAUAAAAAACGGCGUAAAGCGUGGUUAAGAAAAUUAAACUAUAGGGUUGAAUGGCCUCAAUUUAGUUAAAUGCACUCGAAGCCGUGAAGCACAAUUACGAAAGUAGCCCUACCAAAUCUCUGACUCCACGAAAGCCAUAGAA